rnacentral:rRNA from 3 species
CCCGGUCUUUAGAGCGGUGUGGUCCUACCUCUUCCCAUUCCGAACAGAGUCGUCAAACACACCAGCGCCCACAAUAAUGCUCUCACAAGGGAGUGUGAAGAUAAGUCAAGGCCGGGA